rnacentral:rRNA from 1 species
AGUGAACGCUGGCGGGAGGAAGAACACAUGUAAGUCGAACGGCAGCACAGUAAGAGCUUGCUCUUAAGGGUGGAGAGUGGAGGAAGGGUGAGGAAUAAAUAGGAAUAUACUUUUUAGUGGGGGAUAAAGUAGGGAAACUUACGCUAAUACCGCAUACGACCUACGGGUGAAAGCAGGGGAUCUUCGGACCUUGCGCGAUUGAAUGAGCCGAUGUCGGAUUAGCUAGUUGGCGGGGUAAAGGCCCACCAAGGGGAGGGGUCGUAGCUGGUCUGAGAGGAUGAUCAGCCACACUGGAACUGAGACACGGUCCAGACUCCUACGGGAGGCAGCAGUGGGGAAUAUUGGACAAUGGGCGCAAGCCUGAUCCAGCCAUACCGCGUGGGUGAAGAAGGCCUUCGGGUUGUAAAGCCCUUUGAUUAUGAAAGAAAAGCAGCAGGUUAAUACCCCGCUGUUCUGACGGUACCCAAAGAAUAAGCACCGGCUCCCUUCGUC